GGAUUUGGUUUAAAAUGGGUGUAUUUUAGUUUAAUUGAAUAUGUUUGUUUAAUUUUAGUUUAAUUAAAUAUGUUCCUGAUUGCCUGAGCUAACGAACUAAGCUUGGUUAUGGUAAAAUCAGUGUCUAUAUGGCUUUUUCUACUGCUUUUUCUAAAUUGGUUUAAAAUCACCCCUUAAACCAUUUAAUUCUGUGUGUAGACAAGACUUCUUUCUUCUUUAUAUGGUGUUUGUUUUUAGAGAGAAAUAUUGUUGUCCAGCUGCCACCAGGCACUAACUAUAAUGAACAGAUAAUCCUGGAAGCUCACAAACGUCAGAAAGCUGAAGAAAAAGAAACAUAUCUUAAGAAGGCCAAGAGAAGGGAUGAAAUACUUGGUUUACUGUGGAAACAAAGAGAAGAGAGGAUCAUAAAAGAACAGAUUUCUUGUUCACAUAAACCAAAGACUGAAAAUCAUCAAGUAAGGGCAAAGAUAGCCGAUUCUAAUAUUGAGGAUCAAGAAACAGUAAAAGCCCUUAAAUAAUUUUGUUAAGUUGACUGACUUGGCGAUUAUCUUCAGAAGGAUAUCCUGCUAACAGGCCUAUUCUGCUUUGGGAUUUAAACCACAUACGUUCCUGCUUUGAUUACAUUUCUAGCUCUUCUUAUUGAGACUUGGCAUUCUCUGCCCAAAGCUACAGAUUGACUUGUUGGAGCAGCUCUUCAGUCCAGCCAUGAAUUUCUUUGAACGGUUAAAAGUCAAAGCAAUAAAUGUUUAAUACAAACAAAUGAA